AGGUUGUACCGGACAGUCGCUCCGACCUGUCUGCGCAAGCAGGCGAAAGUCGGGGAGGAAAGUCCGAACACUGGCAUGCGCCACAAAGCGCACGCAAAACGGUAGUGGGUAAUUCCCAUCUCCGCUCUAAUCUUGGGCGGGCGAGGUGCGAACAGAGACGGUUUUUUCCGAAAGGACGAAACCGCCCCGAUGAAAGUCGGGGUGAGCUCCGCGGUAACGCGAGAGUUGAAACGGCUAAAUCCUUACUUCAGUGCAAGGCCGUGUCCCGAAAUUUCGGGAAGUGCCGCUCGAGGCGACCGGUAACGGUCGUCCCAGAUAAAUGACUGCCGCUCCGACAUACCGUCGGAGUACAGAAUUCGGCUUAUAGGUACAACACAAAA
rnacentral:RNase_P_RNA from 1 species